UACGAAGGGGGGCUAGCGUUGCUCGGAAUACUGGGCGUAAGGCGCACGUAGGCGGAUUGUUAAGUCGGGGGUGAAAUCCUGGAGCUCAACUCCAGAACUGCCUUCGAUACUGGCGAUCUCGAGUUCGGGAGAGGUGAGUGGAACUGCGAGUGUAGAGGUAAAAUUCGUAGAUAUUCGCAAGAACACCAGUGGCGAAGGCGGCUCACUGGCCCGAUACUGACGCUGAGGUGCGAAAGCGUGGGUAGCAAACGGG
rnacentral:rRNA from 1 species